rnacentral:sRNA from 1 species
CCCAUAAUUAUACCUACAACCAUCUCUUACAUUAACAAUCCACAGAAUCAACAUCAAUUGAUGAGUCAAAAGUUUCAAGAUGCAAAACAACAAGAAUGACAAUCAAUACACAAUUUCUCUAAAUAUCUCAAAGACUGAGAAUACUACUUACCUUCAUAUAGUGAAGAACAAAGAAUGGAUAACUUGUGUAGUAAAAUAUUGAAAAUAUUACACACAGAAUUCAACUGUUGAAAUCAAAAGCCUCAGAACUACAAAGAGUUGCUUCAAACUCUACAGACUCUCAAGAAAAAUAUAUCAGAGCAACAGCAUACUAUUCACAA